rnacentral:lncRNA from 1 species
UCUGCAGUAGCAAGUUAUGAAUGGACGAUACCGGGACCUUGGAAGUUUAUGUCCUCAUCUCACAUUUACUUGAACAUGAGUAGUGCGAAAUUUCCCAAUAUAAGUUGCAUUAAAGCAGAAACAACCAAGAAAAAUGUUACCAGGCGGACCUUGUCACAUCAUGUGUUGGUGCAUAUGCAGCUUGGUGCUAAAUGGAUCUGGUAUAGCAUGAAUGCUACUUACUAUCCAACUGUUAUGAUCGGGGAACGUGUCAAAACAUUCAGGUCUGUUGACGAGGUAUCAGGCGAUAUCACUAACUACACGUUUAUUCAUACAACCCUAGAAUGCGCUAUUGUCCAAAAAAAUAAAAGAAAGCGACAGGAGGGCAUGGAAACAAGCCUCGAACUGUGGGUGAACGACAAGUUCAGAACCAACACAACAUUCUGUGCAAAGCAAUUCAAGAAAAUAUGCAACAACGCAACAACAUUCGAUAUGAAUGAUUGUAUUGGACCUAAAUAAUGCUCGUCAUACUAUCAAUUUAAGGCCACGCCUAAAUUUGUGUUAUUGUAUGCUUAAAUUUUCUGUUUUCGCGUACACUGUGACGAAAGGCACCCUAAAAAUAAAAU